rnacentral:rRNA from 1 species
UACGUAGGUGGCAAGCGUUGUUCGGAUUUACUGGGUUUAAAGGGUGCGUAGGUGGGUAGGUAAGUCAGUGGUGAAAUCUUCAAGCUUAACUUGGAAACUGCCAUUGAUACUAUUUAUCUUGAAUACUUUGGAGGUAAGCGGAAUAUGUCAUGUAGCGGUGAAAUGCUUAGAUAUGACAUAGAACACCAAUUGCGAAGGCAGCUUCUACACAGUUAUUGACACUGAGGCACGAAAAGCGUGGGGAUCAAACAGG